AUUGAACGCUGGCGGCAUGCCUUACACAUGCAAGUCGAACGGUAACAGGUCUUCGGAUGCUGACGAGUGGCGAACGGGUGAGUAAUACAUCGGAACGUGCCUAGUAGUGGGGGAUAACUACUCGAAAGAGUGGCUAAUACCGCAUGAGAUCUACGGAUGAAAGCAGGGGAUCGCAAGACCUUGUGCUACUAGAGCGGCCGAUGGCAGAUUAGGUAGUUGGUGGGAUAAAAGCUUACCAAGCCGACGAUCUGUAGCUGGUCUGAGAGGACGAUCAGCCACAAUGGGCAGGAGACACGGCCCAGACUCCUACGGGAGGCAGCAGUGGGAAUUUUGGACAAUGGGCGCAAGCCUGAUCCAGCAAUGCCGCGUGCAGGAUGAAGGCCUUCGGGUUGUAAACUGCUUUUGUACGGAACGAAAAGCCCCGGGUUAAUACCCUGGGGUCAUGACGGUACCGUAAGAAUAAGCACCGGCUAACUACGUGCCAGCCGCCGCCGUAA
rnacentral:rRNA from 1 species